AACGAACGCUGGCGGCAGGCUUAACACAUGCAAGUCGAACGGGUGUAGCAAUACAUCAGCGGCAGACGGGUGAGUAACACGUGGGAACCUUCCUAGGAGUACGGAACAACUCAGGGAAACUUGAGCUAAUACCGUAUACGUCCGUGAGGAGAAAGAUUUAUCGCCCUUAGACGGGCCCGCGUCGGAUUAGCAAGUUGGUGGGGUAACGGCCUACCAAGGCGACGAUCCGGAGCUGAUCUUAGAGGAUGAACAGCCACACUGGGGCUGAGACACGGCCCAGACUCCUACGGGAGGCAGCAGUGGGAAAUCUUGGAAAAUGGGCGCAAGCCUGAUCCAGCCAUGCCGCGUGAGUGAAGAAGGUCUUCGGAUUGUAAAGCUUUUUUGCCAGGGACGAUAAUGACGGUACCUGGAGAAUAAGCCCCGGCAAACUUCGUGCCAGCAGCCGCAGUAA
rnacentral:rRNA from 1 species